rnacentral:snRNA from 1 species
UCGCUUUGGCGGCAGCGUGUGUACUCAAAUUGGAGCAAGACAGCGAAGGCUAUCGUGGCCCCUGUACGAGGGUGGCACACAGAUUCACGAAUUGACCCAUGUCUUU